UCCGUAGGCGGUUUGAUAAGUCAGUGGUGAAAGCCCUACGCUUAACGUAGGAACGGCCAUUGAUACUGUCAGACUUGAAUUAUUAGGAAGUAACUAGAAUAUGUAGUGUAGCGGUGAAAUGCUUAGAGAUUACAUGGAAUACCAAUUGCGAAGGCAGGUUACUACUAAUGGAUUGACGCUGAUGGACGAAAGCGUGGGUAGCGAACAGGAUUAGAUACCCUGGUAGUCCACGCCGUAAACGAUGGAUACUAGCUGUUCGGAGCAAUCUGAGUGGCUAAGCGAAAGUGAUAAGUAUCCCACCUGGGGAGUACGUUCGCAAGAAUGAA
rnacentral:rRNA from 1 species